rnacentral:rRNA from 1 species
CGGCGACGGGUGAGUAACACGUGGAUAACCUACCUAUAAGACUGGGAUAACUUCGGGAAACCGGAGCUAAUACCGGGUAAUAUAUUGAACCGCAUGGUUCAAUAGUGAAAGACGGUUUUGCUGUCACUUAUAGAUGGAUCCGCGCCGCAUUAGCUAGUUGGUAAGGUAACGGCUUACCAAGGCAACGAUGCGUAGCCGACCUGAGAGGGUGAUCGGCCACACUGGAACUGAGACACGGUCCAG